GAUGAACGCUGGCGGCGUGCCUAAUACAUGCAAGUCGAGCGAACAGACGAGGAUCUUGCUCCUCUGACGUUAGCGGCGGACGGGUGAGUAACACGUGGAUAACCUACCUAUAAGACUGGGAUAACUUCGGGAAACCGGAGCUAAUACCGGAUAAUAUAUUGAACCGCAUGGUUCAAUAGUGAAAGACGGUUUUGCUGUCACUUAUAGAGGGAUCCGCGCCGCAUUAGCUAGUUGGUAAGGUAACGGCUUACCAAGGCAACGAUGCGUAGCCGACCUGAGAGGGGGAUCGGCCACACUGGAACUGAGACACGGUCCAGACUCCUACGGGAGGCAGCAGUAGGGAAUGUUCCGCAAUGGGCGAAAGCUUGACGGAGCAACGCCGCGUGAGUGAUGAAGGUCUUCGGAUCGUAAAACUCUGUUAUUAGGGAAGAACAAAUGUGUAAGUAACUAUGCACGUCUUGACGGUACCUAAUCAGAAAGCCACGGCUAACUACGUG
rnacentral:rRNA from 1 species